UUUGGUGUGGCAUAGUGGUUUGAGAGUUGGAUUAAGAUUCUGGAGACCUGGGUUUGAUUCCCAGCUUGGAUG
rnacentral:tRNA from 1 species